rnacentral:rRNA from 1 species
AAAAACGCUCCCCUUGGGCCGGCCAAUGCAGUGAGCGUAGAAAAGGGCAUCGGCCUAGAUGAUGGCAGGCUCGUAAUUAGGCCCGUAGCCCCUUCGCCGUCAGGCACAGCACUGGUCGCCGGCUCGCCGCCGUCGCCCCACUUCCACUCCACACCAGGGCACCGCGCCACGGGCACCAGUCGGGGAAAAACCUUGCUCUGCUGCAGUGCUGCGCUGCCCCCAAUCCGUUGUCCAGCUCCGGUUUCGAGGCGGAGGCCGAGGGGGAGGAGGCGGAGGCGCGGACAAGUCGCGGAACAGCGCCGAGAAUUAGAUGGAGCAGAGCUUAGAAAGGUGCUGGAUCUGGAAGGGGAAAAGCUCAGAGGAUAUGACAUGAAUUACCAUCGGUAGUAGACUGGCCAUGUACUUGAAUCGUCGUGACCAGGAUGAGAAGCAGCGCAAGGAUCCAUGUCAGCUUUGUACUUGCUGAGCAACUGAAGUUGAUCACCAUGGUACUCUGUCUUCGGUUCUUGCAAUGUUGGUAAGCAAUCAUGCAAAUUAAGAAGCUUGGUAUCUGCAACAAAUGACUUGUGUACGCAGUUAUAUGGCCGAGAAAACCAAGUACAGUAACACAAUUUAGUAGUAUGCGG